AUGCUCCUCUUACACAAGCAACUCCUCUCGCUCCGUCUCCCCGCCUCACCCGUGAUCUUCUCUCUCCGUCGGGCCCUCUUAUCCACCUCGGCAGCCACCGACGCCCCGCCGCCCCCCUUCGCCGUCGACGACUACCUCGUCACCACCUGCGGCCUCACGCCGGAGCAAGCCCUGAAGGCCGCCAAGCGCGUCUCCCACUGCAAGUCCACCUCCAACGCCGACUCCGUCCUCGCCUACCUCGCCGGCCCCAGUCUCCGCCUCUCCAAGUCCGACAUCGCCCACGUCGUCGCCCGCGACCCGCGGAUCCUCAACUGCAGCGUCGAGAACACCCUCAAGGCCCGCGUCGCCAUCUUACGCGGCUAUGGCCUCUCCGAGGACCACGUCCGGACCUUCCUCCGCAUGACCCCCGGCGUCUUCCGCUCCGUCAGCAUCCAGGAGAAGUUCGGGUUCUGGUUGCCCUUCCUGGGGUCGCCGGAGAAGUUCAUCCGCAUCCUCAAGGGCAACUAUUACCUGCUCACGUCGGACCUCGAGCGGGUGGUGAAGCCCAACAUUGCGGUGCUACGGGAGAGUGGGCAUGCAGUGACCACGACGACGAGCCUUGGGCCUGAGACAAUGGCAGCCAAGCUCAAGCUCUUUGAGGAGAUCCUUGGGUGGUCCGAGGCCGAGGUGGCCAAGGUGGUGAGGAUGAACCCAACGGUGCUGAGGAUCUCUGGGGAGAAGCUUCGCCGUGUUAAGGAGUUCCUGACCAAGGUGGUCGGUGUUGACACCAGGUACAUCCUUACCAGGCCCUCAAUCCUGAUGUGCAGCCUGGAGUGCCAACUUGUCCCUCGGCAUUACGUGAUGAAGGUGCUCCAGGAGAAAGGAUUGAUUCAGAAAGAUCAGAGCUUCUACCCGAUGGUCAGGGCUAGUGAGAACACGUUUCAGCUCAAGUACAUAGAUGCUCAUAGGCAUGUUCUUCCAGGCCUUGCCGAUGCCUACGCAGCUGCUUGCCAAGGGAAACUGCCAACUGAAGUUGCGGUAUGA
rnacentral:rRNA from 1 species